CACGCAGGCGGUUAUUUAAGUGAGGUGUGAAAGCCCUGGGCUUAACCUAGGAAUUGCAUUUCAGACUGGGUAACUAGAGUACUUUAGGGAGGGGUAGAAUUCCACGUGUAGCGGUGAAAUGCGUAGAGAUGUGGAGGAAUACCGAAGGCGAAGGCAGCCCCUUGGGAAUGUACUGACGCUCAUGUGCGAAAGCGUGGGGAGCAAACA
rnacentral:rRNA from 1 species